ACCUGCCCUUGACUCUGGGAUAAGCCUGGGAAACUGGGUCUAAUACCGGAUAGGACCACUUCUUGGAGGUUGUGGUGGAAAGUUUUUUCGGUGUGGGAUGAGCUCGCGGCCUAUCAGCUUGUUGGUGGGGUAAUGGCCUACCAAGGCGUCGACGGGUAGCCGGCCUGAGAGGGUGUACGGCCACAUUGGGACUGAGAUACGGCCCAGACUCCUACGGGAGGCAGCAGUGGGGAAUUUUCCGCAAUGGGCGAAAGCCUGACGGAGCAACGCCGCGUGAGGGAUGAAGGCCUCUGGGCUGUAAACCUCUUUUAUCAAGGAAGAAGAUCUGACGGUACUUGAUGAAUAAGCCACGGCUAAUUCCGUGCCAGCAGCCGCGGUAAUACGGGAGUGGCAAGCGUUAUCCGGAAUUAUUGGGCGUAAAGCGUCCGCAGGCGGCCCUACAAGUCUGCUGUUAAAAAGUGGAGCUUAACUCCAUCAUGGCAGUGGAAACUGUUGGGCUUGAGUGUGGUAGGGGCAGAGGGAAUUCCCGGUGUAGCGGUGAAAUGCGUAGAUAUCGGGAAGAA
rnacentral:rRNA from 1 species